CCUACGGGAGGCAGCAGUGAGGAAUAUUGGUCAAUGGGCGGAAGCCUGAACCAGCCAAGUAGCGUGCAGGAUGACGGCCCUACGGGUUGUAAACUGCUUUUAUACGGGAAUAACGCGCCUUACGUGUAGGGCUUUGCAUGUACCGUAUGAAUAAGGACCGGCUAAUUCCGUGCCAGCAGCCGCGGUAAUACGGAAGGUCCGGGCGUUAUCCGGAUUUAUUGGGUUUAAAGGGAGCGUAGGCCGCAUGUCAAGCGUGCUGUGAAAUGUCCGGGCUCAACCCGGGCCUUGCAGGGGGAACUGGGGGGCUUGAGUGCGGGAGAGGCAGGCGGAAUUCGGGGUGUAGCGGUGAAAUGCGGAGAGA
rnacentral:rRNA from 1 species